CGUGCGGGUGUCUUAGACUGCAGUCGGGCGGGGUGCAUCGUGGUAGCAAUAUCGUGGUGCACUUAGCGGCGAACGGGUGGGUAAUACAAGGGCAACCAUCCCUCAGGAGGGGCACAACCCACCGAAAGGUGGGCUAAUACCCCAUGUGCUGCGGCGAAGGCAUCUUUGCUGCAGAAAAGGCGCCGCAAGGUGCCACCUCUGGACGGGCUCUUGUUCUAUCAGCUUGAUGGCGGGGUAACGGCCCACCAUGGCGUAGACGGGUAGCCGGCGUGAGAGCGUGACCGGCCACAGGGGAACUGCGACACGGUCCCCACUCCUACGGGAGGCAGCAGUCUAGAAAUUUGGGCAAUGGGCGAAAGCCUGACCCAGCGACACCGCGUGGAGGAUGAAGUCCUUCGGGAUGUAAACUCCUGACAGGCGGAAAGAUGCCAUUUCGGAGUAACUGCCGAGAUGGUGACGGUACUGCCAAAGGAAGCCCCGGCUAACUACGUGCCAGCAGCCGCGGUAAUACGUAGGGGGCAAGCGCUGUCCGGAUUUACUGGGCGUAAAGGGUGUGCAGGCGGACUGGCGGGUCGAUGGUGAAAGCUCACGGCUCAACCGGGAAAGUGCUGUCGAAACUACCAGUCUAGAGGACGGAAGAGGAAACUGGAACUUCUGGUGUAGCGGUAAAAUGCGUAGAUAUCAGAAGGAACGCCAAUAGCGAAGGCAGGUUUCUGGGACGUUUCUGACGCUGAAACACGAAAGCUAGGGGAGCAAACAGGAUUAGAUACCCUGGUAGUCCUAGCUGUAAACGAUGAU
rnacentral:rRNA from 1 species